CCUACGGGGAGCAGCAGUGGGGAAUAUUGCGCAAUGGGCGAAAGCCUGACGCAGCGACGCCGCGUGAGGGAUGAAGGUCUUCGGAUCGUAAACCUCUGUCAGCAGGGAAGAAAGGUCACUGUGCUAAUCAGCAGUGAAUUGACGGUACCUGCAAAGGAAGCACCGGCUAACUCCGUGCCAGCAGCCGCGGUAAUACGGAGGGUGAGAGCGUUAAUCGGAAUUACUGGGCGUAAAGCGCUCGUAGGCGGUAUGUCAAGUCAAGGGUGAAAUCCCCGAGCUCAACGUGGGAACUGCCUUUGAAACUGGCAAACUGGAGUGUGUGAUAGGAUAGUGGAAUGCCAGGUGUAGGAGUGAAAGCCGUAGAUAUCAGGAGGAACAUCAGUGGCGAAGGCGACUAUCUGGCACAUAACUGACGCUGAGGAGCGAAAGCGUGGGUAGCAAACAGGAUUAGAUACCCUUGUAGUC
rnacentral:rRNA from 1 species